AACGAACGCUGGCGGCUUGCCUAACACAUGCAAGUCGAACGAGACCUUCGGGUCUAGUGGCGCACGGGUGCGUAACGCGUGGGAACCUGCCCUUAGGUUCGGAAUAACUCCCCGAAAGGGGUGCUAAUACCGGAUAAUGUCUUCGGACCAAAGAUUUAUCGCCUUUGGAUGGGCCCGCGUUGGAUUAGCUAGUUGGUAGGGUAAAAGCCUUCCAAGGCGACGAUCCAUAGCUGGUCUGAGAGGAUGAUCAGCCACACUGGGACUGAGACACGGCCCAGACUCCUACGGGAGGCAGCAGUGGGGAAUAUUGGACAAUGGGCGAAAGCCUGAUCCGGCAAUGCCGCGUGAGUGAUGAAGGCCUUAGGGUUGUAAAGCUCUUUUACCCGGGAUGAUAAUGACAGUACCGGGAGAAUAAGCUCCGGCUAACUCCGUG
rnacentral:rRNA from 1 species